UUUUGUCUAUAUAAUGCGAGACAGAAAAUUCCCAUUUGAGUGAUAAAAACAAUUUGUUGAUUGAGUGCAUUAAUUUAAAUUGCUGGCAAAAAGUUCAAUGUGAUUACACAAUAUAGUUGAACCCAAUAAGGUGAAGAAGCCUAUGACUAGUAGUAUUAGCCCAUUCCUUAGGAGGAUAUGAAAUGAUUAUAAUCAGUAAUCACCCAAAAAAAAAAAAAAAAAGUUACAUAAUAUCACUUGUCGAUUUUAGGUUUUCAGACCAAAAGUCUCAGAUGCUAUUCUUGAUGAUGACUUCUAUAUAAGCAAUAAUUUCAAAACAGAAAAUAGCUUAUUUUGGAAGCAAAAAGAUUCGAAGGGAUGUUGGAAUCAACUUUAUUCCCCAAUUAAUAUUGGUGCUGUUCGUUUGCCUGCGGCUGUGGCGAACGCAGAUAAUGAUGUUCGUUUCGUUGCCGCCGGUACCUGCGGCAGAACGCUGCGUCAAACGCGAGUCAAUUGCUUUUAAAAUUUCGAUCGCCGAUUUUAUCCAGCGUCUGAUGCUUAAAAGUUGCGCCUCUUCUUCGUCGCGUCCAAAUCUCUCUCUCGACGACGAAGCUUGAUUCAAAUCUCUCUCUCGACGACGAAGCUGGUUAAAUCUCUCUCUCUCACUCUCUCUUUCUCUGUUUGGUCUGUGAGUGAAUCGAUCUGUUUUUGAUUUGAGCUCAUCGAAGAUUUGAUUAUGGGUAGUUCUAGAUCAGUGAGUGAAUCGAUCUGUGUUGUGGGCUGGUUAACUGCAAAAAUUAGAGAUGUUUUUGGUAUAAAUUCAUAUAUCUCGACCUCUCAGUUUUUUCUGUGAGCUGGUUAACUGAUACAGAACCACACGUGUGGCUCCGCACGUGAGAAGCUAAAGAAUAAUAAGGACGAAUAAGAGGGUGACGCGUGGCAAGCAGAGUGAGGCUGGCGAGAAAUGGCCGUCGCGAGCAGCCUAUUUCAUCAUGCCUUUGUCAUUUUUUUUGUCAAUUUAUCGAUCAAAUUGUAAACUCUUUGGAGAUUCUGGAUUUGAAAGUGCUAGGGUUCUCUCAUCUUGAGAGCUAGCCUCGAUUGGGUGUUUUUCAUGAACAUUGAAUCGAUUUAUCUUGGUUUUGGUGUUGAUUUGUGUUGAUUGUUUUGUGAUUCUUGUGAUUUGGAGUUUGUCUGUAA